rnacentral:rRNA from 1 species
UAGGGAAUCUUCCGCAAUGGACGAAAGUCUGACGGAGCAACGCCGCGUGAGUGAAGAAGGAUUUCGGUUCGUAAAACUCUGUUGUUAGGGAAGAAAAAAUGUAUAGUAACUAUAUACAAAAGAGACGGUACCUAACCAGAAAGCCACGGCUAACUACGUGCCAGCAGCCGCGGUAAUACGUGGUGGCAAGCGUUGUCCGGAAUUAUUGGGCGUAAAGCGCGCGCAGGUGGUUUAGAAAGUCUGAUGUGAAAGCCCACGGCUCAACCGUGGAGGGUCAUUGGAAACUAAUAAACUUGAGUGCAGGAGAGAAAAGUGGAAUUCCUAGUGUAGCGGUGAAAUGCGUAGAGAUUAGGAGGAACACCGGUGGCGAAAGCGGCUUUUUGGCCUGCAACUGACACUGAGGCGCGAAAGCGUGGGGAGCAAACAGG